GUAGGGAAUAUUGCAAAAUGGGCGAAAGCCCGAUGCAGCAACGCCGCGUGGGCGAUGAAGGCCUUCGGGUCGUAAAGCCCUUUUUGAGGGGAUGAGGGAGGACAGUACCCUCAGAAUAAGCCUCGGCUAACUACGUGCCAGCAGCCGCGGUAAAACGUAGGAGGCGAGCGUUAUCCGGAUUUACUGGGCGUAAAGCGCGUGCAGGCGGAUUGGAGAGUUGGAUGUGAAAGCUCCCGGCUUAACUGGGAGAGGUCGUUCAAUACUUCCAAUCUUGAGUGGAGUAGAGGGAAGUGGAAUUCCGGGUGUAGUGGUGAAAGGCGUAGAUAUCCGGAGGAACACCAGUGGCGAAAGCGGCUUCCUGGACUGUAACUGACGCUCAGACGCGAAAGCUAGGGUAGCAAACG
rnacentral:rRNA from 1 species